UACGGGAGGCAGCAGUGGGGAAUCUUGGACAAUGGGCGCAAGCCUGAUCCAGCCAUGCCGCGUGAGUGAUGAAGGCCUUAGGGUCGUAAAGCUCUUUCGCCAGAGAUGAUAAUGACAGUAUCUGGUAAAGAAACCCCGGCUAANUCCGUGCCAGCAGCCGCGGUAAUACGGAGGGGGUUAGCGUUGUUCGGAAUUACUGGGCGUAAAGCGCACGUAGGCGGAUCAGAAAGUAAGGGGUGAAAUCCCAGGGCUCAACCCUGGAACUGCCUCUUAAACUCCUGGUCUUGAGUUCGAGAGAGGUGAGUGGAAUUCCGAGUGUAGAGGUGAAAUUCGUAGAUAUUCGGAGGAACACCAGUGGCGAAGGCGGCUCACUGGCUCGAUACUGACGCUAAGGUGGAAAGUGUGNGGAGCAAACAGGAUUAGAUACCUUUCAG
rnacentral:rRNA from 1 species